GCGACAUUUGUGGGAAAAAAAGUGAAAACCUUAAACAAAAAUAUAAAUAAGAUAAUUUUGUUACUUCCAAUACAGAAAUCAGAUGACAUUAUGCUGUUAAAAUGACUGCUUUUGUAUUGUAAUGUACUGAAAUGUCUGCAGACUGCUGUGAGCAGUGAGGAUGGAGAAGUCCACAGCAGCAUCCUGGAAAUGGUCCAGUGCCAUGGAUGAGACGCUCCAUCACUCCACCUCUUACUGCCUCAUCUGGACCAGAUGUUGCUGUGGUCUCUUCAUCCUCAGUGACCCCAGAGCCAGCGAGAGCAUCUAGAGAAACACCAAAAGACACUGAGGAUGGAUCUACAAUCCUCUGGAACGACCUGGAUUGCUCAAGGACAUACUGGUGGUUUUGAACCAGCAAACUUCUGCUCACCACUUCAGUGGUUUAGCCCACUACAAAAGUAGUGGUGCUCAUGGAAAGCAGCACACAAAUGUUUGGAGCAGACACAGUGGCAGCCAGAUUGUCCCGCAUGUGCUCCCCUGCUCUUG